AUUGAACGCUGGCGGCAGGCCUAACACAUGCAAGUCGAGCGGAUGAAGGGAGCUUGCUCCUGGAUUCAGCGGCGGACGGGUGAGUAAUGCCUAGGAAUCUGCCUGGUAGUGGGGGAUAACGUCCGGAAACGGGCGCUAAUACCGCAUACGUCCUGCAGGAGAAAGUGGGGGAUCUUCGGACCUCACGCUAUCAGAUGAGCCUAGGUCGGAUUAGCUAGUUGGUGGGGUAAAGGCCUACCAAGGCGACGAUCCGUAACUGGUCUGAGAGGAUGAUCAGACACACUGGAACUGAGACACGGUCCAGACUCCUACGGGAGGCAGCAGUGGGGAAUAUUGGACAAUGGGCGAAAGCCUGAUCCAGCCAUGCCGCGUGUGUGAAGAAGGUCUUCGGAUUGUAAAGCACUUUAAGUUGGGAGGAAGGGCAGUAAGUUAAUACCUUGCUGUUUUGACGUUACCAACAGAAUAAGCACCGGCUAACUUCGUG
rnacentral:rRNA from 1 species